rnacentral:rRNA from 1 species
UACGGGGGGUGCAAGCGUUGUUCGGAAUUAUUGGGCGUAAAGCGCGUGUAGGCGGUUUGUUAAGUCUGUUGUGAAAGCCCUGGGCUCAACCCAGGAAGUGCACUGGAUACUGGCAGACUUGAAUACGGGAGAGGGUAGUGGAAUUCCUGGUGUAGGAGUGAAAUCCGUAGAUAUCAGGAGGAACACCGGUGGCGAAGGCGGCUACCUGGACCGAUAUUGACGCUGAGACGCGAAAGCGUGGGUAGCAAA